CGCGCCGCUCUCCCGCCGGCGCUUCGCUCAAAGGAGCGGGACCAUGGAAGACCCAGGAGCAGACUGCAGCCGGGAACCAGGUGACAGAAGAAUUAUCUGCAUUUUCUCCAUUAUCCUCUACCUUCUUCUGACAUUGGAUGGCUCAUGAACCUCCUCCAGCUAAGACAUAUAAUGCAACUGAAAGGUGUUUCUCAUUCUGAUGAGUAUUUGAUACUGCAAACUACCAUUUCUGCAGGCAGACAGGGGUCCUUCAUAGCUGUCCCACAUUCCGGGCAAGAGAAAUCUUUCCUUCACUGUGCAUCAGCCUAGAAGCUUAUUGUUUGUUUAGAGUAUCAAUGGACGAUCUUUACCUAAACUCCAUGUUCUUCAGACAGGACUAAGUUUUGCCAGUUAGCUUAAAGUAAAGGACAGUUUUUAAACUGUAUUGUCUAACAGACAUCUGGCAAACAGUCCCUUCAUUCACCCACAGGCAAAGGAUGUGAUUUUUGGGAGCCCUCAAUCAGCUCACACAAGGAUAUAGGACUUCUUACUCCCAGACUACUCCUAAGAAGUUAUGUGAAACAAGGACACGCACCAGUACAUGGUUAAUACUAAGUUAUGUGUUAUGAUGAGCGCUGAAUUUCAGGUCCUUUCUCUGAGCCAGAAGAUGGAACUCUUGGAUUGAAUAAGCCAGUACCCUGGGCUAACACAGAGAGAGCCUGCCAAAGAGUUCGCCAUAGAAAUGUCUUUGUUCUCCAGAAUUUUUAAAGCACUCUAACAGAAGGGAAUGAGUACAGUGUCAGUCUUCCAUAUUUCUAGUGGAAGUGGGAGAAUUACCCAGGGAAAGUGGGAACAGUCUGUACAAUACAUUUCUUUCCCUUCCUUCAUAUGAGCCAAUAAUCCAUCUACCCAUAAGGCCAUUCCCGCCCCUUAACUUUCCUAUAAUAUUAUCAAAUUUUAUUUUCCCUUUGGAUUACUCCUAUCUUGAGUGCUUUGAUUAUGAGGUAGAUAAAUAUUAUUUCAUCCAUCUGUAAUAUGGAUGAAAUGAAUACAUGUAUGAGUUGUGGGAGUCGCUAAUGGAACCCAAGGGUAUUGACUCCCAGUUCCCUGCUCUAAACAUUAACACACACUCCCUCUCAUAAAUGACAUUAAUCAAAAUGGAAACUUGUAGCUAUUGAAAGCCUAGCUUUACCAAUUCUUGGACCAGCAUUUUAAUUAUAUGGAAUCAACACACUUCAUUUUUGUCUAAGUUUACCUUUGAUUUAUUACAUAUAUUAACAAUACUUUGCCAUAACUGGAGCUCUGAAAUAAUUGCUCCUUUGAAGGACUUCAAAUUAAUAGUUUGCCUGUAUACCAUAUUGGCUCUGUCUGAUUUAUCUGAUGGAAACAUAUGAGACUGUUGGGAUGUAUAUAGGAUAUUUGAUAUUUUUUCCAUAUUUUCUUGAGCUGUUCAUUAUAAUAUAAUUUGGAUUUUUUAAAAUCUCUGUCUCUGUGAAUGUGACUUGUCAUCUGGAUAGGAAUUUGUUAGUAUGGUAGACAUGGGUUAUUUCUUUCUCUUUAUCAUUGUGUAUUUGAUCUGACAUAUACAAUUCUAUAUUUCUUUAUAUUACUUUUCAUUUUUAGAUCUCAAUUUACAUUUUGUAUCUUAUGUAUAACAGACCUUGCACAGUAGAAAAUAAUCAUAAGUACACCCUUAUCUCAUCUGCCACACCCACAUUUUCUGCUGGCCACUUCUGGCUAAAAUCCAUUCACUUUUCACUGUCUGGGUGAUGCAAAGCAAAUGGAUUGUACUGGAAAAUCUGGGCCAAGGACUCCAAGAACCUAUGGUGAUUAUUCAGAAAACUGAGGGAGAAAAAGACUGUAGCAAAUUUUGAGUUGUAGUUUUCCCUGGAUUCGUUUUUGUCAUCAGCAGCUAAACCACUGAAGAUUCCACACAAACUUUAUCUAUGUAAAACCUUUUACAUCUAUGCAGUAGAAAAAAAUCCAGAGAAUUAAUUCCCAACAACUAAAAUUAUUCUUUACAAAUAAUGAAAAAUUCAAGUUAACAUUAAGGGUACUAAUAGAAGUAAUAUUGCUAAUAUCAGCCAAUAGAGUUCCAUACAGUAGCAUACCUAAGGUCUGGUCUACCCACAUUUUUUGUACCAGUAUAAACUAUUUAAAUUAGGGAUGUGUAUCCCAGGAUUUCUGGAACUGCCAGUUUCUGAGUUCCAUUACAGGGACUCUGGAAGCCCUGAGAUCUGCUGAAAAACUGGCAACCGAGGGCUCUCAGGGCUUCCAGGUUUCUGGCUCUGUGACAGAUAGCUUGGAAGUCCUGAGUUCCUCAAAUCUUAUGAAGUCCACAUGGCAGGCAGCCCUGGAAACAUGGAUCCCAGCUGGACCCUGGGAUCUCCAGGAGUCUGCCAAGCGAGCUGACAGGAAAAAGGGCAGGUUUCCUCAAAAUAUUUGUUUUGCUGGAAAAUUCCCAAAUAGCUCUGAUUCUCAGAGGUGAAGGGAAAUAACAAUACUAGCAUAAGGCACUUUUACUCUGAUAUAGCUGGGUCUGCACUAGGGUUUGUACAAUUAUAAUGCACUGGUAAAAAGCCAUACCCCAACUGAUAUAGUUUUACUUCUAUUACUUCCAAGUAUGAUCAAGAGUAUGGAACGGCUUCCAUACAAGGACAGACUAAAAAGAUUAGGGCUGUUCAGCUUAGAAAAGAGAUAAUUAAGGAGGGAUAUGAUGAAGGUCUAUAAAAUAAUGAAUUGUGUGGAAAAACUGAAUAAAGAGUUGUUAUUUAUCCUUUCCCACAAUACAAAAACCAAGGGUCACUCAAUGAAAUUAAUAGGCAGCAGAUUUAAUACAAACAAGAGGACUUGCUCUUUUACACAAUGUAAAAUUAACUAGUGGACCUCAUUGCCAUAGGAUGUUGUGAUGGCAAAAACUAUAACUGGGUUCAAAAAAGAUACAUUCAUGGAGGAUAGGUCCAUUAAUGGCUACUAACCAACUCCAUGCUCGAAGUGACCCUAAACCUCUUAGUGCCUGAAGAUAGGAGGGGAUGUCAGGGGUGGAUAUCUCCACAAUUGCCCUGCUCUGUACACUCUUCCUAAAGAUCUGGUACUGGCUACUGUUGGAGACAGAAUACUGCGCUAGAUGGACCAUUGGUCUGACCCAGUGUUCUUCAGUGUUGACCAGGUCUAUGAGCAUUGAAAUCUGGCCCCUACUGAACACUUUACCUGAGCAAGUAUGUAUGAAAACAAAGAAUCAGUGGCUCCUGGAUCUCACUUCGGGAAACUAAAAGGUUGCACACUUUUUCAAUAUAUAGGAUAACUCGGAGCCAAAGAAAUUACCUCCCUGCCAGUGAAAUAGGGAUCAUGAAUGUAAACAUGGAAAGCAGAAUAAACUCAGUUGCAAAUAUGAAAGCAUGUAUCAGACUCUGUAUCAUUUACAGUUAGUACAGAGCACAAUGUGAUUAAAGGAAUAUCUUCACUAUGGAUUUCAUAAGCUACUUGAAAGAUAUUGCAUGAAAAAUAACCCUACAAACUCUGAAUAUUUGAUAAAAAUAAGCAUUUUCCACUUCAAAAGAAUAUUACCCUGGGUGUUUUGUUUUUUUUUUAAGCUGAUUAAAAUGGCUUUGUUUUUAUCUGGCUUUGAUUUGAGAAAAGAUACUAUCAUGCAGUUAUUCAUUUUAGUAAGAUGACCAUGUUAUAGUGUGGUGCAUAAACAUCAUCAGAAACUAGAAACUGGCCAAACUGUGGAGGAUUUUGCUUUUAUAAAAUCAAAACUGAAUCCAGGAAUAGUUUAAAUUUAGGCCCUAUUUUAUCUGAAAAUAUACAGGGAAGGGCAAAGAGGUUGGUCAAAUAGCUGUAGGCUGUUGACCAUCUUUCCCAAAAGCUGUAAGUGUGUACAUAAAAUAAUACCCUAAAUGUUAUUUAAAUUGCAUUAUUAAAUUAAGAGGGCAUAUUUUAAUACAUCAGAAAAAAAAAUAUGCAAGCAGCAAAUUCUUUGAGUUUCAACUUGUGGCAUUCCCUCAACCCCAUGUUUUGACAUGGGAGUGAGACUCCCUGUAUCCCUAUAGAGUAGGCAGAAUUUCCACCCUGUAAGUCAUUGAUUACACAAGAUCCAUGACAAUAUCAGCACACCUGCAAAAGCUCAGGUUGCCAUUGGUUACCUGUCCUGAGUCCCUGCCGUAGCAGUGAAUUAGAGUAGCAUUAAUGCUUUCUCUGAUAUCCACAGGAAUCAAGCUCUCAGUGCAUCUGUUAAGCACGUUCACCCACUCCUAUGUAUGGUCUCACAUUUUUGUGAAGAUCCACCCGAAGAAAUAUUCAGCAAAAGGGCUUUUGCAGAAGUCCCAGGGAGGAGAGAGAGGAGUGUGUCACAGAGCUGGUGCUCCCUCCUUUCUGCACACCCAAGGUUUGGAUUCCCUCCACUCACAGCAGUACAGGGGAGAAUCUGGCCUCAUAUAUAUUUAAUUUCCCUUGAUUUAAAUGCUGUCAUUGAUGGGCUCUUGAAACACUGCACUUUUUCAGCUGUAAUAAGUUUAGCUUGAACAAAAUCCUAAAACACAUCAAUCACCUAGUUUUCACUCACUGGCCAUGCAAUGUAAUGUUUCUUUUCUUCUCAAGUGCCUGAACAGUUUGAGUUGUGUCAUGAUAUUUUCCUAUUAUUUUUACAGGCAUGUAGAUCAUUAUCUCAUUAGUAUGCAACCCUGACUGCCUCAAGUGACCUUAUUUUGGCACACAUUUCUUGCAUACAAGUGGGGUUCACAUAAUACAAUAUGUCUAAAAGGUUGGAUUCUGUUUCACUGACAUAGAGAGUGGGAGAGAAGAAUUUCAAAACCCAAAUCCUUGGUAAAUGUGGCCAAGCUAUAUAAAGUACUACUGUGUGCUACUACUAGCUCUGAACCUGGAAGGGAAAAACAGAAGUGGCCAUUAACUGAGAGCACAGAGGAUAUUAUUUCAGACAAGCAGGGAUAUAUGUUGAAUACAAUGAGGAAAUAAGAAUGAUUCCUUAGUGUUUUAUGAACUUGAUAGGAAGAUCAAAUUAUAUUAUAAUUCUUUAAUAUGCAGGGCCAAAUCCAAAGAGGCACAGAGCAUUUGCAAGUCCUAUUGACUUCAGAGUCAGCUUCAGAUGUAGAGCACCUUUCAGGAUUUGGCUUUUUAUUAUUAGGUUGCUAAAACUUUACAGAAUUCUCUUCUUAAGCUCAUCUUUUUAAACAACACUGCUAGAACUGUUUACAAAUGAAAAGCUUCAUUUUUUUUAGUAUACUUGGCUUGGUUUGCCUGUUGUAUAAACCUAUCAAAGUGCUGCUUGCACACUGUUGCAUUGGCUCCUGGAAAUACUAAUCAAGUCCCUUGGAUACAUGCACAUCAGAAAACCUUGUGCGGACAGCAUAAUAAUACCAGAGAAAGCUUUUAAAUAAGAUCAAUUUUCCUCAAUAUAUCAUGCAUAGUUUGGAAUAAUCGGACACCUGGUAAAACAUUUUUGAAAUGCUGCAGUUUCUUUUUAUCCAGUUUUAAGUUGAAGCAUCUCUAAUUCACAUCCAAAAUAUUUUAUCAUCUUUUUUUUUCAUUAAAAAAAUAAAUAAAUUGUGACCUUUCUUGCAAUUGGCUGAAACUUUCAUACCUUCUGUUCGGGUCUCCACUAGUUAGAAAUGGUUUUAGUUAGCUGGACCCAUGCAUUUCAGUCAAUUAUGAGCUUUUGUCUUGCUGUUACCAUGAAGGACCAUUUCUUUCCUAAAAUGGUAAAUAAUGAGGAACAUACAAUUUGUUAGAGGUGCUCUGAGGAGUACAUUGGCAUAGGAUCUGAUUUUUUUUCUUAUUCUUAAUGAAUAGAAAUAGUUUUCAUCAAAUUAGAUGGUAUUUGUUCAUUUUCCCCUGUCCCUCCUUUUAGGCCACAAUUCAGAGUUAACAGCACAGCAAUCGAGUGUUUGAAAGCUCUUAAAAUAUCCAAAGUGUACUUCAAGUAGCACUCUGUGUUUUUACUUAACUACUCCAUUUAUUUCAGUUUGUAUGAAGCACAUUAUAAAAUCAAUUGAGGCAGACAUUUUCAGUUGAAAAGCAGAAGACUAAAGGUUCAUAUUUUGUCAGUAAAUAAUGUGAUAGAGGGAACAAGCAAAUGGAGUAAAUGAAUCAAAUGGAACUUAUUUCAAAGCAUGGAGGAAAGUUAAAGCAAUAAGAGGGAAGAGUAGUAGAAGUGGCAGAAAGUACUGUACAGCCCAUUCCAUACACUUAUGCAAGCUGUGGACCAUAGAGACAUGGUGCAUAAGAAAGCACCUUAUAGCCUUACUAUGAUGCUUUCAAAGGCAAUAUAAAGAAAUUCAAGGCUUCUUCUAAUUACCUUCUUGAGCAAGCCAAUCAGCAUGCAAUCAGAGCUAUGACUUUCAUGUAAUGCUUACUGAAUGAACUUAGAAUACUCGAGUUGGAAAUUUUGGAUAUACAAACAUAGGUCUGUAGACAUGCAAGUUGUUUGUCAAUAGUUUAUUUUUCCAAAGGACAACAUAGGAGUUAUAAUUAAAAGACAAAAGAAUGUUUGAUAUAAAGUGUAUAAAAUGCAUCUAUACUGGAGCUUUAUAGAACUGUUGGUCCAGAAUCUUCGUGAAACCUAAAUAGGCAUAUAAAUGAGGGUAGAAUUUGGCCCAAUAUCUUUUAUAGUUGCUUACAUACUCACAAUAAAUUUUGAUUUAUAUAAAAAUUGCAUAUAUCUGAAGUGAAUAAAAGAUAACUAUUAGAGUUAGUCAAAAAUGUUAAAGAAUUUUUUUUGGGGGUGGAGGGGAAUUGAAAAUUAUAUUAGUUCUGCAGGUUAUAAAAAUAUGGUAUUGGUUUUAAAUUUUUCAAUUUUUUUGUUGUAUGUGUUUUAAUGUUUGACUUUUUAUGUGUAUAAAAAG